GACGAACGCUGGCGGCGUGCUUAACACAUGCAAGUCGAACGGUAAGGCCCUUCGGGGUACACGAGUGGCGAACGGGUGAGUAACACGUGGGUAAUCUGCCCUGCACUUCGGGAUAAGCCUGGGAAACUGGGUCUAAUACCGGAUAUUCAGUUCCUGCCGCAUGGUGGGGGUUGGAAAGUUUUUCGGUGCAGGAUGAGCCCGCGGCCUAUCAGCUUGUUGGUGGGGUAAUGGCCUACCAAGGCGACGACGGGUAGCCGGCCUGAGAGGGUGAUCGGCCACACUGGGACUGAGACACGGCCCAGACUCCUACGGGAGGCAGCAGUGGGGAAUAUUGCACAAUGGGCGAAAGCCUGAUGCAGCGACGCCGCGUGAGGGAUGACGGUCUUCGGAUUGUAAACCCCUUUCAGUAGGGACGAAGCGCAAGUGACGGUACCUGCAGAAGAAGCACCGGCCAACUACGU
rnacentral:rRNA from 1 species